GACGAACGCUGGCGGCGUGCUUAACACAUGCAAGUCGAACGGAAAGGCCUGCUUUCCCUUGUGGAUUGCGGGUACUCGAGUGGCGAACGGGUGAGUAACACGUGAGUGAUCUGCCCCCAACUUGGGUAUAAGCCUGGGAAACUGGGUCUAAUUCCCGAUAGGACUGCAGGGUGGUGCCUGUGGUGGAAAACGAUUUUCUAGUGGUUGGGGAUGAGCUCGCGGCCUAUCAGCUUGUUGGUGGGGUAAUGGCCUACCAAGGCGGCGACGGGUAGCCGGCCUGAGAGGGUGGACGGCCACAUUGGGACUGAGAUACGGCCCAGACUGCUACGGGAGGAAGCAGUGGGGAAUAUUGCACAAUGGGCGGAAGCCUGAUGCAGCGACGCCGCGUGGGGGAUGACGGCCUUCGGGUUGUAAACUCCUUUCGACCGCGAGGAAGCCACCUGGUUGGAAGGGUGGUGACGGUAGUGGGAGAAGAAGCACCGGCUAACUACGUG
rnacentral:rRNA from 1 species